GAGAUGCUUACUCAACUAGAGCUUCAAGUCGAUGGUGGUUUCAAUCAGAAUAUGAACUCAAAGGCAUUUUCAGCUCCCAGCUCGAGUGCCCUGGACUUUCCCACACUUCCUGUGCAAGAUAGUCAGAAUGGUCCUUCAAAAUAUGCUGGAGAUGAUCUUCAGCAGAAUGGCAAUCCGUAUCGAUCUUCUAAUAAAGAGAACAUGCUUUUAUUCAAGUCCAGUUCUUCCAUCCCAUCUAGAGGUGGUGCA
rnacentral:misc_RNA from 1 species